rnacentral:rRNA from 1 species
AUACGUAGGGGGCGAGCGUUGUCCGGAAUGAUUGGGCGUAAAGGGCGCGUAGGCGGCCCGGUAAGUCUGGAGUGAAAGUCCUGCUUUCAAGGUGGGAAUUGCUUUGGAUACUGCCGCGCUUGAGUGCAGGAGAGGUUAUCGGAAUUCCCGGUGUAGCGGUGAAAUGCGUAGAGAUCGGGAGGAACACCAGUGGCGAAGGCGGGUAACUGGACUGCAACUGACGCUGAGGCGCGAAAGUGUGGGGAGCAAACAGGAUUAGAUACCCUGGUAGUCCACACCGUAAACGAUGAAUGCUAGGUGUAAGAGGUAUCGACCCCUUUUGUGCCGGAGUCAACACAAUAAGCAUUCCGCCUGGGGAGUACGGCCGCAAGGUUGAAACUCAAAUGAAUUGACGGGG